rnacentral:rRNA from 1 species
UGGGGAAUUUUGGACAAUGGGGGCAACCCUGAUCCAGCCAUGCCGCGUGCGGGAAGAAGGCCUUCGGGUUGUAAACCGCUUUUGUUCGGGAAGAAAUCCUCUGGGCUAAUACCCCGGGGGGAUGACGGUACCGGAAGAAUAAGCACCGGCUAACUACGUGCCAGCAGCCGCGGUAAUACGUAGGGUGCGAGCGUUAAUCGGAAUUACUGGGCGUAAAGCGUGCGCAGGCGGUUGUGCAAGACAGAUGUGAAAUCCCCGGGCUUAACCUGGGAACUGCAUUUGUGACUGCACGGCUAGAGUGCGGCAGAGGGGAGUGGAAUUCCGCGUGUAGCAGUGAAAUGCGUAGAUAUGCGGAGGAACACCGAUGGCGAAGGCAGCUCCCUGGGCCUGCACUGACGCUCAUGCACGAAAGCGUGGGGAGCAAACA